rnacentral:lncRNA from 1 species
CUGGCGAUGACGAUGAGGAACCGCCAAAUAUUGGCGGCGCAGAUGAAUCAAGACACGGCGACAGUUUACGUAGAACUAUAACAGAGCAAUUAUGGAAUAGUAGAUGUUGAUUGUUUGUGUUUAUGCUAAUUGUAAAUAUUGGCAAUAGUUUUGUAUUUUGGAUAAAGUUUAUGUUAUGUUGCUUGCAAAUGUGAGGUAAUUGUGAUAAUGUUAUGUUGUAAUAUUCGACUGGUUGCAUGUUUACAUCUAUCAGUUAAAGUGUUUAUUUUAGUUGUGACAAUGAUUUAGAUUUAUUUUCAUGCUAUAUAAUUGGUGAAUAUUAUGAAUGCAAAUUUGCUUGACCGUCGCUAUAGAUUUGCUUGAUGGUAUAUGUAAAUGUGCUUAUUGCUAAAAAGUGUAAAUUACGCUUCGUGCUUAAAGUGUUUAUUCGACUGGUUGCAUGUAAAUGUGAGGUAAUUGUGAUAAUGUUAUGUUGUAAUAUUCGACUGGUUGCAUGUUUACAUCUAUCAGUUAAAGUGUUUAUUUUAGUUGUGACAAUGAUUUAGAUUUAUUUUCAUGCUAUAUAAUUGGUGAAUAUUAUGAAUGCAAAUUUGCUUGACCGUCGCUAUAGAUUUGCUUGAUGGUAUAUGUAAAUGUGCUUAUUGCUAAAAAGUGUAAAUUACGCUUCGUGCUUAAAGUGUUUAUUCGACUGGUUGCAUGUAAAUGUGAGGUAAUUGUGAUAAUGUUAUGUUGUAAUAUUCGACUGGUUGCAUGUUUACAUCUAUUAGUUAAAGUGUUUAUUUUAGUUGUGACAAUGAUUUAGAUUUAUUUUCAUGCUAUAUAAUUGGUGGAAUAUUAUGAAUGCAAAUUUGCUUGACCG